rnacentral:rRNA from 1 species
GACGAACGCUGGCGGCGUGCUUAACACAUGCAAGUCGAACGGAAAGGCCCUGCUUUUGUGGGGUGCUCGAGUGGCGAACGGGUGAGUAACACGUGAGUAACCUGCCCUUGACUUUGGGAUAACUUCAGGAAACUGGGGCUAAUACCGGAUAGGAGCUCCUGCUGCAUGGUGGGGGUUGGAAAGUUUCGGCGGUUGGGGAUGGACUCGCGGCUUAUCAGCUUGUUGGUGGGGUAGUGGCUUACCAAGGCUUUGACGGGUAGCCGGCCUGAGAGGGUGACCGGCCACAUUGGGACUGAGAUACGGCCCAGACUCCUACGGGAGGCAGCAGUGGGGAAUAUUGCACAAUGGGCGGAAGCCUGAUGCAGCAACGCCGCGUGCGGGAUGACGGCCUUCGGGUUGUAAACCGCUUUCGCCUGUGACGAAGCGUGAGUGACGGUAAUGGGUAAAGAAGCACCGGCUAACUACGUGCCAGCAGCCGCGGUGAUACGUAGGGUGCGAGCGUUGUCCGGAUUUAUUGGGCGUAGAGGGCUCGUAGGUGGUUGAUCGCGUCGGAAGUGUAAUCUUGGGGCUUAACCCUGAGCGUGCUUUCGAUACGGGUUGACUUGAGGAAGGUAGGGGAGAAUGGAAUUCCUGGUGGAGCGGUGGAAUGCGCAGAUAUCAGGAGGAACACCAGUGGCGAAGGCGGUUCUCUGGGCCUUUCCUGACGCUGAGGAGCGAAAGCGUGGGGAGCGAACAGGCUUAGAUACCCUGGUAGUCCACGCUGUAAACGGUGGGUACUAGGUGUGGGGUCCAUUCCACGGGUUCCGUGCCGUAGCUAACGCUUUAAGUACCCCGCCUGGGGAGUACGGCCGCAAGGCUAAAACUCAAAGGAAUUGACGGGGCCCCGCACAAGCGGCGGAGCAUGCGGAUUAAUUCGAUGCAACGCGUAGAACCUUACCUGGGUUUGACAUGGAUCGGGAGUGCUCAGAGAUGGGUGUGCCUCUUUUGGGGUCGGUUCACAGGUGGUGCAUGCCUGUCGUCAGCUCGUGUCGUGAGAUGUUGGGUUAAGUCCCGCAACGAGCGCAACCCUUGUUCACUGUUGCCAGCACGUUAUGGUGGGGACUCAGUGGAGACCGCCGGGGUCAACUCGGAGGAAGGUGGGGAUGACGUCAAGUCCUCAUGCCCCUUAUGUCCAGGGCUUCACGCAUGCUACAAUGGCUGGUACAGAGAGUGGCGAGCCUGUGAGGGUGAGCGAAUCUCGGAAAGCCGGUCUCAGUUCGGAUUGGGGUCUGCAACUCGACCUCAUGAAGUCGGAGUCGCUAGUAAUCGCAGAUCAGCAACGCUGCGGUGAAUACGUUCCCGGG